AGAGUAGCUCAGCGGUAGAGCAGAGGACUCAUAAGCCUUUGGUCGGUGGUUCGAAUCCACUCUCUG
rnacentral:tRNA from 1 species